rnacentral:rRNA from 1 species
GGUCCAGACUCCUACGGGAGGCAGCAGUGAGGAAUAUUGGUCAAUGGCCGCAGGGCUGAACCAGCCAAGUCGCGUGAGGGAGGACGGCCCUACGGGUUGUAAACCUCUUUUGCCGGGGAGCAACGGGCGCCACGUGUGGCGUCACUGAGAGUACCCGGAGAAAAAGCAUCGGCUAACUCCGUGCCAGCAGCCGCGGUAAUACGGAGGAUGCGAGCGUUAUCCGGAUUUAUUGGGUUUAAAGGGUGCGUAGGCGGAAGGUUAAGUCAGCGGUCAAAUGUCGGUGCUCAACACCGGCCUGCCGUUGAAACUGGUCUUCUUGAGUGAGCGAGAAGUAUGCGGAAUGCGUGGUGUAGCGGUGAAAUGCAUAGAUAUCACGCAGAACUCCGAUUGCGAAGGCAGCAUACCGGCGCUCAACUGACGCUGAGGCACGAAAGCGCGGGGAUCGAACAGGAUUAGAUACCCGUGUAUAC